GUUCUUGUAAGUGCAACUAAGACAUUCUUAUUCAAAUAAGUGAAUGAGAUCAACUCCAGUAUGACUUAGCUGACAAAUCCUAUAGCCCUUUUUGGAAUACAUAGAUGCUUUGCUUUGUCUCUAAUUAUAUAGCUAAAGUGUUCAAAACAGAAUUAAAUCCAGAUCUUCUUCAGUCCCAGGCAGACACUGUUUCUCUUCCACCAUUCUGUCUUUAUGACAGAGAUGUCACAUACAAGUAAAAUUUAAAAUUCCAAACUUUUAUAAAUUAAGUGUUUUCUAAUGCUAGUUUUAUAGCACUGUUCCAUUUAUUCCAAGAAGUGUCACUAUAUGUUCAAACCAAAAAGAAUUUAAAUUUACCUUCAUUUAACAACAACAACAAAAAAAAGUCAGUGCAUUGUAUAGAAAUAUUGCAAAAUAAAGCAAAUAUGACAGACUGUGGCAACAAUAUGAAAGUUGACUCACAGCGUCAUUGAAAAACACAGGAGAGAUGCAGCAUGUGCAGGGGAUGGAAAGCCAGUCUCCAUGUCAGGGGAUUUGGCUUUGGAUUUCAUUACUGAUAUAUAUCGACUUGUGAUCAAAGGUAAAUUAUUUUAUCUUUUAGUGCCCAGACAAUUCCAUAAGAUUAAAUUGCUAUGAAAAUGUUUAGCUACUAUGACACUUCACCAUUUAAAUUACAUUUCUCGUCAAAAAGAGAUAUUGAAAUGAGAGGUUCUAGUCUUUUACGGAACCUCCCCUUCACUCCCCCUCCUAAAAGAAAUUACUUUGUACAAAUUUUAUAUUAAAUGUAUCUAUUCCUAUUGUUUCUAAUAUUAGAAUGAAAGUAAAGACUUUGGUUUUCUUCCUAUGUCCAGGGACUAUGGUAUCCUGAUACACAAUAGGUAUUUAAUAAUUAACAGAUUGAUUUAUGGAUAGUCUGGCUCUGCCAUUAACUUGCAGAAUGGUCUUAAGAAUCAGAAGCUAUUUCAUCCCUUUGGGCUUCACCUCCUUAUUUAUAAAAUGAAAGCAAUUUAAUUAUAUUAGGGACAUCUAACAUCCCUUUCAGCUCUAACAUUCUCUGAUUCUAUCAGUCAUUCAUCUACUAUCCCACCUCUUCUUGAGUUCUAUAAUUCUGGGAAUAUCAUCUAUCUGUCCACCAGAGGGAAAUUUCAUAACCAGAAUAUUCCUGAAUAAAAUGAUGGGAUUUUGCUCAACAGAAAUUUACCUUUGUUCAUAUUAGCCUCCCUAAUGCUGUAUCUUCUACAACUAAGUACACCUGCACACACCCCAACAAUCCUAAAUAGCACCAAAUGCCACUCUCAUUUCCCUACAUACAAAUGUAAACAAUAAUUUUAGUUGUUACUACAUUUUUUUUUUCAAAUCCAGAUUAUGACUGGCUGUACUAUGCCAUGUUUUUGAUGCUGCUACUAAAAGGAAAGAAAAACCAGAGUAGCAUUUACAUAGGGGGAAAAAAUACCUGGGAACAAGCAUCUCAUUCUCUAGUGUUUGAAUAGUCAAAGAUAUGAAUAGACAAAUUACAAAUGUAGAUUAUAAAUUUUCCUUUGAAAAAAAUGCUCAACCUCAUUAAUAAUCAAAUAAAAACCAACAGAAAUUACUUUAUAAUAUUAUUUCACCCUUGUUAACUGAGAAAAAAAAGGUAACAAAAUAAAUAUUGGUAUAGUGGCAAGGAAAUAGGCUCAUUCUUACAAUUUGGUGUACUCUGUUUGGAAAUCCAUCUGGCAAGAUGACAAUAGUCAUAAUUCCAAUAUUAUGCUUUAACCUAAUAAGCACAAUAGAUAAUUUAAUUAAAAUUGUGUUUAAUUAAUUUGUUGAUAAAGCAUAAUUAAAUUAAUAAUUUAAAGAGAUAAUUUAAAAUAAAUGCAUAAUAUAUAUAUAAUUGCAAUAUAUGCAAUGGAAAAAAAAAUUGGAAAUAUAGUGGUGCUUUGGAACUUAUGGUUAACUGGGUCCAGAAGGCACCACAAAUGGCACAAGUACCAAACAAAUUUUUCCUUUAAGGAAUAUAUCUUCAAUGCACAGCCCAUUGUGAUUUUUUUUAAUCUCUCCCCACCCAAUUCCCCAAAGGGACAACAGAGACUUCCAGGUGCACAAAUAAAAGCCAUCCCAGACUAACCCAUGUCUUCCCUGGUUGACCAAACUCACUUUCUGAGAGAAACUGCCACAUUUAUACUGUGCUCCAACAUCCAUGCCAUCCAAGCUUCCUGGGUGGGGAGAGGUCUGCAUGUGGAGGCUAAAGCUAUAGUUCCAAGCCCUCUGUUGUCCAGGGUUCUGGUAGGGGUCUUUGACUCCAGGCUGGUACGAGUGCUGGGUUCUCCUCCGCCAAGUCUAUGACUGCCUUAUGACUGUUAGUGCAGCUAUACUCCACCACCACAGCUGCUGCAGUCUUCCGUCACUACUGCAUUGCACCGCUGCGGCAGCGCGCUAUCGCCCCUCUGCCGCAGCGCGCCAACGUCCCUCUGCUCCAGCUCACUAACGCCCUCUGCCGCAGCUCACCAAUGCAGUCGGCCAACACAAUCCUCCAACAGAGUCCAUCUACAGAGUUCACCUAGAGAAUCCCCCUCCCCAAAGUCUACCUUUGCUGCAGCUCACCAAAGCAGUUCACCACUGCCGCAGCUUACCAAAAUAGCCCGCUGCCGCGGCUUACCAAAAUAGCCCGCUGCCGCGGCUUACCAAAAUAGCCCGCUGCCGCGGCUUACCAAAAUAGCCCGCUGCCGCGGCUUACCAAAAUAGCCCGCUGCCGUUACCUUAGCUUACCAGUGCAGUCUGCCACCAACGCGAGCCACCACUGAGCCCCACCACCGCGCCCGCCACCGCGCCCCGCCACCGCUCCCGUCACCAAACACGCCUGCCACCUCUAUCUCUGCGCAACUGCUGCCUCCAGGGCACACCAACCCUCCCACCCCCAUUUAUUCUCAACUGCUGCUAUUUCUGGUCCUGCUACUUCUCGGUCUACUGAGCAUGGUGGGAUUGCUCCAAGUCACAUCCAGUACUACUGUUUUGGAAGCCAGGAGACUACAUACUGCAGCUACAUCUGUCCCGCACAAUCUGCCCCGUGAUCUGCCGAACUUAC
ensembl:lncRNA